GCUUUUAUAGUUUAAUGAGAACAUAGUAUUGAAGCUGCUAAGGUGAUUUAUCUGAGAGUA
rnacentral:tRNA from 1 species